GAUGAACGCUGGCGGCGUGCUUAACACAUGCAAGUCGAACGAUGAAGCCCAGCUUGCUGGGUGGAUUAGUGGCGAACGGGUGAGUAACACGUGAGUAACCUGCCCUUGACUCUGGGAUAAGCGCUGGAAACGGCGUCUAAUACCGGAUGCGAGCUUCCACCGCAUGGUGAGUUGCUGGAAAGUAUUUCGGUUAAGGAUGGACUCGCGGCCUAUCAGGUAGUUGGUGGGGUAACGGCUCACCAAGCCCACGACGGGUAGCCGGCCUGAGAGGGUGACCGGCCACAAUGGGACUGAGAGACGGACCAGACUCCUACGGGAGGCAGCAGGGGGGAAUAUUGCACAAUGGGCGCAAGCCUGAUGCAGCAACGCCGCGUGAGGGAAGAAGGCCUGCGGGUAGUAAACCUCUUUUAGCAGGGAAGAAGCGAAAGUGACGGUACCUGCAGAAAAAGCACCGGCUAACUACGUG
rnacentral:rRNA from 1 species